CGUAGGACAUUAAUCGUUGAACAAACGAACCUUUGGUAGCGGCUUCACCACCGGGGUGUCCUGAUCCAACAUCGAGGUCGUAAGCCCCCCUGGCGAUAGGAACUCUUAAGGGGGAUGGCGCUGUUAUCCCUGGGGUAACUUGGUCCGAUUCUCAGUGCUACUGGGUCAAUAUUUAAGGUCACUUGGCUUGUAAGCCGAGUGGCAGGGGAUUAGCCUGUAUUUGUGGAGGUUUUGGUUUUCUCCGCAGUCGCCCCAACUUAAAGUUUGGACUAUGCUAAUAGGGGUAUGUCUUGGUUGGACUUAUACUCUUAGGUAGUGGUUAGCUUGAAGCUCCACAGGGUCUUUUCGUCUUGUGAUGGUAUUUCAGCUUUUGUACUGAAAGAUCAGUUUCAUUGAUUGGUCACAGGAGACAGUUGGGCCCUCAGUUAGCCAUUCAUACAGGUCUUUAUUUAGAAGACAAGUGAUUACGCUACCUUUGCACGGUUAUGAUACCGCGGCCGUUAAAU
rnacentral:rRNA from 1 species